UACGUAGGGUGCAGGCGUUAAUCGGAAUUACUGGGCGUAAAGCGUGCGCAGGCGGUUUCUUAAGUCAGAUGUGAAAGCCCCGGGCUUAACCUGGGAACUGCGUUUGAAACUGGGAGACUUGAGUGUGGCAGAGGGGGGGUGGAAUUCCACGUGUAGCAGUGAAAUGCGUAGAUAUGUGGAGGAACACCAAUGGCGAAGGCAGCCCCCUGGGUCAACACUGACGCCUCAUGCACGAAAGCGUGGGGAGCAAAC
rnacentral:rRNA from 1 species